CAUAGAUCCUUGGAGCAUCUCCAACCAUCUAACAUUUUAAAAAUUGCCAUGGUUGCUCAAAGGGAAAUUAAUUUAGGAUAAUUCUUAACUUCAACCGUCCUGUUCAAAAGUCUAUGUUAAGCGUAUUAUUAUGACAAUCAUCAUGACAACAGGAAAAGAAGACUAGUUUGAUAUGAAGAACUGUUAGGAGACCGAGAGGCAGAUGCCUUUGAAGUACAGCCUUUCUAAGGAAGCUCUCAUAUCUUAACCAUCUUGGGUUUUCAGAAAUUGACUAAAUGUUUAUGCUGUUAUCUAUGGAUGAGCAGGGAAUCAUAGAAGCAUUGUCUAUCAAUGACUGUCGGAGCUUGGGUCCAACAGGUUCACACACUUGAUAUUUGAUCUUACUUAUCUUCACUCAUUUUUAUUGCUUUGCAGUAAACUUAUCUCAAGGGCUAGUCUUUCACGCUCUUCCUGUCUUGAGCAGCUACUCUUGGUCAAGUACUCAAUUCUCCUUUCUGGAUGUACAGAAAGAGCGCUUAUGUUGCCACUCGAAAUUUCAGUUCUUAGGUGUCAGAAACAAAUGCAAAGCAGUGUCUACAAGACUCCAGUGAGGAGGUAAGUCAGCACCUUCUAUCUCGUGCUUACACGUUUUCCAGACUUUGAGCUCCAGGUCUCCUCUGCCACUUUCACUGUAUAGCAGGGAUACAUGAAAAGCAUGACAAAUAGAAAAGCAACUAAGUGGUAUCCCAAAUAUUUACAUAGCAUCUAAUUAUCAUGUGGAAGUUGUGGGCUAGAAGUAGACAGGUAUAAAUUGGAUCCUCUCUCCAUCAAGAGUUGCUACGUAGAUGCAUAACAGACAGUCCUUGAUGGAGAACAGGUGGCUACUGUGGGGAGUGAGUAAUCAUUGGAAAGAAGGAUCAGCUGGUAGACAUCAAAACAUUCUUGGAAGUGGUCAUUUCGAAUUUGGGAGGUUUAUGGACUUGAGGCAAGAGGCAGGAGGAGGCUGUAACUAUUGCAGACCAAGAUGGGACAAUUAGACGGUGGAGUUGGUCCCCAUGGCUACAGCAGAAGGUUGUGGGGGCAAGCUGUGAGAUGCUGGCUGGUGGUAUUUUGAGAACUAACAAACUUCCUAGAUCAGCGUGCCCUGGGAAUAGUAUUCCUCUAGGUAAGUUUCCUGGGGAAGGUAGGAUGCCCUCCCUCCCCUGCUCUACCUAUGAGUUCUGCUGUUUCUUUCCUCAGGAUUGCUUCAAAGUUCAUCUUUCAGAGCUGUGUCAGCUGGGAAAAGCUCUGUCCUCCCUGCUACCUGCAGGUGCAUUAUGUCCAGCUGCUUUGAGCUUCUGAUGCCCCGACUUCCCCACUAUCCAUUAAGUUGAUUUUCUUAGAGUGUUUUUUAAAAUAAUAGCAAUGGAAAAGAAACUAAAAUACCAUCCACCCUACAGAUUUCAGACUUCUCAGUCUCCUUAAUCCAGAAGCUGCUGCCAUGUUAUAUUGGUCUGAGCAGCACUUAACCAGAUCCAACUACAAUUGGUUGCUAACGUGACCAUCUCUAGAGCCAUGACUAAUUUCCAGAUCAGUGCAAGGCCUUAUGAAAUGAGCGAAUGACAAAAUAAAGGAAGGGAUGGAAAGUAGAAACAUUCUGAAUGCAGAAAUGGUGCAUAAGACGAAUGUUUUGUACCAAAGAAAAUAAUAGGGAUAUCAUAGGGAGGUAGAGGGAUUUCUACAGGGUAGGGGGUAAUUAAAGUGGAAACUUCUGGUUUCUUUGGAAAGUCAGUUAUGCCAGAGGAUGUUUCCCUGAAGCAAACACAGCUGGAAGGAUGUUUAGCUAAAUCAAACACAUGAAAGGACACACGAUGUUAAGAAGGAAUAUAAAAAUAACCCAACAGAUACUGGCCGACACUGGAUUAGGUAUUGGUAUGCCCUGCCAUUUUAUUGGUCAUUAUUUGUCAUGACUUUAUAGAAAGAAACACACCAAAACAAUCAGUGGUGUUCUGAUGGAUUUUUGCUGUUUUCUCGGACUCUGGACAAUUGCCAGAGUGACGUAGGUAGAUACAGACACACGUGGUGAGGCAAGACUCAUGGGAGGACAUGUGAUGUUUGGACAGAGUACAAAUAGGACUCAAUGGACAGUGAUGGGGCUUGCAUAGCUGGCUUUGCCACCGCUCCUCAUUCUUGUUUGCUAUCCUGACACUAUUGACUGGACUGCUGGUGUAUUCGUGGAGUGUUUGUGAGUCGAUCAAGGUGCUGCUGCUGGUUUGUGUGAACUGGACUGCUGAGAUCCCGACAACACAGAUGGGAUGGCUCCAAAGAAAACUUUCUAAACAGGUCCACUUCCCCAGUAUCCUAAUAACCUUUCUUUUCUACUGCCUGUGGUGAGUAGUGGACUAGAAGAAGGGAGGUUAAAACAUUUAAAAACCCACAUUAAAAGUAGGUUUUGAAAAAUUUAAGACAACAGAUAUUUGAAAAUGAUCCUUUCUGGUUUGGCAUACUGGUCUGGGAAAUGUGCAGACACGAGGAAACAGUUCUAUAGAGAAACAGAGAAACUCAUAUACAGAGGGCAGUGUGAAAAAAAUCUAUUUACAUAUCUGAUGUAUAAACAUGGAAUUUACAAAGAGAGUAGUAAUGUACACAGGAGGGCUUAUCCGAUAAUUCAGGACAAAAUGAGCGUUCCUCCCCAACUUUCUACACAACUGCCUCUAUCUUCGUUGUUUUGUAUAUAAGAAUCACACAAGGGUGUGGGGCACUCUGUGCUGUUUUGACACAGAUAUACAUUGUGAAACAAUCAAAUGAAGGAAUUGACAGUUCAUUACUUUGAAUAUUUACCAUUUCUUGGUGUUGGCAGACUCUCCUGCUAUCUAUUCUGAGAUAUGCUUUUAACCAUUGUUAAUUACAGUCUACACAAUCUUUUUAUUUUGAGGAUGUGCUAGGAUGAUUUUUUUUCUCCUAACUACUCUUUUUUUUUUUUGAGCAUGUUUUUGUAACUCCAGCUGUUAAUUACCCCGUCGUACAACCAUGUCAUUUUGACCCCUGUUCGCUGUUUUCAUGCAAUGAGAUGCUUGUUUUUCAAUCGGAUUCUAUUGUUUUUCUACAAAAGACAAUUUCUUUAAUCAGCACACUGGCUGCCUGUAGAUUCAUCUACGUUUCACCAGAAUGAUUCUCGCUCCCUGUCUUCCUUGCACAUCCUCCAAGUUGAUCUGACAUUUAAAAAAAAAUUCCGUGCUGUGAAUUCUAUUUUC